GUCUACGGUCAUACACCCUAAAUGCCCCUGAUCUCAUCUGAUCUCGGAAGCUAAGCAGGUCAGGCCUGGUUAGUACUUGGAUGGGAGACGUUGAAAGACUUUCUAAACAGGAAUCCAGUAGGAAAUUGUGGGAU
ensembl:rRNA 5S_rRNA 5S ribosomal RNA